rnacentral:sRNA from 1 species
CCUGUCGUUGAUCGCAAGAUCUGAAAGAAGAACUUUACUUAUCGACUUAACACAAUAUUUAUUUUGUUGGUUUCCUGUACCAAAAUAAGGCCCCAACCAAACUGCAAUUGGUACUUACAAUUAUUUGCAAAUGAAAACAAAACAAUUAUGUAAUUGCUUUUACAUUUAAUCUUCUUUUUUAAAUUUCAUUAUUGUAUGCACUUGGUAUAUUAUACUCACGUUAAAUUAUAAUUCAACAAAAACUACAUCUUUAGCUUUUAUUUAUAUUAUUAUUAAUUUCUUAUUUUUUUAAUCUGAAAAAAAAAUGAAAUAGAUUCAGCUUGUUGCUUUUCAUACUUGUUCGUAGAUUGAGAAUUUUAUAAUCUGUUCAUGUCUUCCAUAAUUUGUUCAUAUUUUUCAUAAUCUGUUCAUGUCUUCCAUAAUUUGUUCAUAUUUUUCAUAAUCUGUUCAUGUCUUCCAUAAUUCUGUUUUUCAUAGUUGUUGGAGCUUCGUCUUGUACACGAAUGUUCAUACAAUUACGAUCAAGCAACUAUUAUGUAACCCUUUGAGAUCUAAGCAACUAUUAUGUAACCCUUUGAGAUCUAAGCAACUAUUAUUUAACCCUUUGAGAUCUAAGCAGCUCUUCAACUUUUGAGAUUUAAAGCUUCACUCAUCUCGGCUCCACAAAAGACAAAAUAUAGUACCCUUAACCCUUAACUUACUGAAUUAUUUCUGCAACCAUUGUUUUAUGAGGGUGUCUUGUGGUCAUUACCCCCCCACCACACACACACACACACAUACACACAAGUUUUAAGCUGAAUAAACUCCGGAAGUCAUCAAAUAUCAAGUUGAAAAAAAAAAUCCUGGAAUCGUUUUAAUCAGGAAAGUAAUAGUUUUGUAGUUAAGGGGAUUGUACUCAAAUCAAUUUAUGAGGGAGAACUCAUUAAUUUUAUUGUAUGAAUUGUUAUUUCCUGUCCACUUUGUGUGUUAUAAUUUUUUUUACAUGUAUAUAAUGUUUAUAAAGAAUCAUACUAUUUUUACACA